UCCAUGUUUUAAAGCUGUCAUUGUAGUUCCUGCAAUUCUGUGAUUGUGGUGGCAGUGUGGCUUUGUCAUACUAUGGUGCUCGUAAUGGUGAAAGUAACACUUGGCCUUCUCUCUGCAGAAAACGCUUUUGAGGUACUUCGAUGUUAGCUUGGCGACCGUCAAGUUCUCUCCCACUGGCAUCAGCAAGGCCAACACUGCCGUGCAGCUGGGACUUGUGGCGGCCACGCUAGCUGCUCCCGUGUUUGGUUUUGUGGAUCACGGUGCCCUGCAUGCCUUCUGGUACCUCACAGCGAGCACGACAGUGCUGUCAGGCUUAACGUACCUGUUUACAAAGGAUGCUUACCAGUUCAUCAGGAAGGACAAGUCGUAGCUGUCUUAGAGGAUCGGCUGAUACACAAGUGCUACAUUAUGGGAGGAGCAUCCACCGAGCUAGUUCUCCGUUUAAUCUUGUUGAACAACUAGUGCUCCAUAUUUUUUUUUUGUUAAAGUCGAACUGUUUUAUUGUUCCGAGGCAGGGAUGAGAAUUGUUUCUGUUGAAAUUAAAAAUGUAAUCUUGUUAGUACGUAUGUUUGGCAGAAUUUGGAAGAUACACAGAUUCUUGAAAGGAUAGAAUCGUGCUUUUAUUCUGUUUGUUUGCUUGUCGACGCCAUUAAUUUAGUGUCAAUAUGGCAGAUGGAUGUCAUGCUUGUUAAAUUUCAGAAAAUUCGACGUCGUUAGUCUACCUUGCUGGGGUUUGAUGACAGUGACAUAGCUCAGUCACAAUGAUGAUCACAUUCUGUCAUUGAUAGAUGACAUAUUCUGAUAUAAUACAGCCGUGAUGCCGUACUUAUAUUACAAGAGAGCAGUGGCCUUAUCUGACUGGCAUAUCUCUGACAGUGCGGUGUUAGCCAUAGGGUGUGGGGUCUAAAAUGACAUAUGCAACGUCACAUGCUAGUCACCUGUUGUAGUGGUGUGGAGAUGUGAAAGCAAGCUGCUGUAAUGAGGACAGUAUCUUGCACUAGCGUUAGGAUGACAGUGGUGUUUUAGUCAGUGAUGAGGAUGAUUGAUUGCCGUGUUGUGUGAAUUGCUUGGCACCAAGAUGUUAACAUGUGUAUUGUUAAUGAUUGAUGAUAUGUGCUAUACUGGUUGACAGUUUUAAGGGAGAGUGCAUUGCUUUUAUCAGAUGGAACUAUGCCGAGGCCUCUCCACCACCACAAGCCAUGCCACGGAGCUUGUCAAAAUUUGGUGCUGCUGGAAAAAUGAUAGCCAGUGCAUGUAAUGUUAACGAGACGACUAGUGCGCAGCGAAUUAGCAUUGAAGGUGGGGCUUUGUAGAUGUUGAUGCAUCCGAUCAAACACUUUCUCUAAACCUUGUUUAUACAUACUCUGUGGCCUGAGAAUCUACUGUUCCAUAACGGAUGCUGAAGAUGGCCAGCACCACGUGAGUGCAGUCCCAGACAAACAGAAAAUGGCAAAUCAAUUUGGUGGAAUUUUGCAAGGAAGAGGGAGGUUCAUGAAUGAGAAGAGUUGUCAUCUGCCCGAUUGUAGCACGAAUGAGUUUCUCCGAAAGAAAGCUUGCUUCGCAAAGAAAAAUUUGGCCCAGUUCGAGCAUAGAAACCCGGACCAACGCUUUUCCUGGGCAGUCGCUCAACCAUCUAGCCUGCUGGUUAGUUCAGAUGGUAGAGUGACUGCUACGGCAAGGUGUUGCUGCUGGGUUCGAUGCCCGGACCAUGACGAAUUUUUCAGGUUUCUUUCUCGGUAAACCAUAUGGAUUUUCUUUGUAGCUAUAUGCUACGAUCAGAUGGAUGACAAUUUUUUCCUUUCAUAGAAUUCAAACAGACAGCCCAGUUUUGUGUGUUGUCAAAAGGUCUGGUGCUGCUUUUAACCCAUAGCCACUGGUUGCAAGGAGUUCAAUCAGUCGUAGAGGUAAUCCAAAGGGAGCUUGUAUAUGAUGUUUUGACGCUGCCCUCGUUGCUAUACAUAUUUAAUCAAAUUCAAAUUGUGGUGAGUGGUGCUUGAGAUUUUUCUCUUAGUACUUCAGAGUAAUCUCUUCUCUUAUUGGUUACAUCAUAUCAGUUUUCUCCAACUUUAGGAGUUCUCUGUUUGUGGAAUGCUUCUUGUGUUCGGAAAUUGCAACUGCUUUACUGACGCUGUAGGGAAGUACUUUUUUGUGCUGAGCGUAACUUUCAUCUCACGGUGAAUGCUCUCUUUCCACAUGCUCUUUGUCUUAUUAAAACAUUGCGCACUAUAAGAGCAAGAUAAGAGGGAUGUGAGGUGCAUUCUCGACGCGAUGCACAAUCAGCUUCAGGUACACAUUUGGUGGCCUGUAUGUUCCACAAGACUAGCUGUUAGCAUUAGAUGUUGAAGGCCACAAAAUCACACUUUGAAUCAGGUCCUAUUGUUUUAAGACUCACUUGGUGAUACUAACUACCACAUUUUUAUGAUCUGUGUUGUAUGCAACAUACACUUAUGUCAUGAGCUUUUAUGUACAUGUCCGGCGACUAAUUCUGCACGUUUAUUUUAAAAAUGCAAGCUUCAUGGCAUUGCAUACUACGGUUACAUGCUACAUCCAAGCCUAGUACAAGGACCAAAAAGACACCGCAUAUCCACGAAGUGAAUGAUGAUGAGUGGGCGAAGCACCGAGGGAUCAUUUGGGCAAAACGCCAGAAGCGUUAGCCGGCAGCCGGCUUCCGGAAGCCCGAGCUUAGCGUACAUAUACUAUACAUAUACACAGACACACACACACAUA